UCAAAAUGACUCUCGGCAACGGAUAUCUCGGCUCUCGCAUCGAUGAAGAACGUAGCGAAAUGCGAUACUUGGUGUGAAUUGCAGAAUCCCGUGAACCAUCGAGUCUUUGAACGCAAGUUGCGCCCGAUGCCUUCGGGCUGAGGGCACGCCUGCCUGGGCGUC
rnacentral:rRNA from 1 species